rnacentral:rRNA from 1 species
GAUGAACGCUGGCGGCGUGCCUAACACAUGCAAGUCGAGCGUGAUUUAUGAGGACGAAACUUCGGUCUAGGAAUCAUAAUGAAAGCGGCGGACGGGUGAGUAACGCGUAGGCAACCUGCCCUCGACACAGGGAUAGCCUCGGGAAACCGGGAUUAAAACCUGAUAACGCCAAAGAGUCACAUGGCUCUUGGGCCAAAGAUUUAUCGGUCAAGGAUGGGCCUGCGUCUGAUUAGUUAGUUGGUGGGGUAACGGCCUACCAAGACGACGAUCAGUAGCCGACCUGAGAGGGUGAUCGGCCACAUUGGAACUGAGACACGGUCCAAACUCCUACGGGAGGCAGCAGUGGGGAAUAUUGCACAAUGGGCGAAAGCCUGAUGCAGCACCGCCGCGUGAGCGAUGAAGGCCUUUGGGUCGUAAAGCUCUGUCCUUGGGGAAGAAACAAAUGACGGUACCCAAGGAGGAAGCCCCGGCUAACUACGUGCCAGCCGCCGCCGUAAAAC